UCCGAAUUAGUGUAGUGUUAACAUAACUCAAUUCUAUAAAGCUUGAUGGUUUGGGAUGAGAUUCAAAAAAUUUCAAACCUACGAAGUUUUAGAUUGAGGAGCCCCAGGUUCGACUUCUGGAUUCAGAA